rnacentral:lncRNA from 1 species
GCGUGAAGUAAAUCCCAUCUUCUCUAGCAUACCAGUAGUUCUUUUUACCAUGAUCAAAUGCGCCACUACCACCUUCAAAUGCCCUAAUCAUUACAGAAGGUCCACUUGCCUGGAGAAAUGUACAAUCAAUUUUAUUCUUAGGAAUAAAUUUAUCAUGAAAGCUAUAAUCAUCAGUUUCUCCUGGUUUUAGGAAAAAGGUGCCAAUCUGAUCACCAUUCCAUUUACAAAAGAUUUGGAGAUCGUUUCCUGGAUUAAGAGAGUUAUUUAAGUAUAUGUGGUUUUUCGCAAACAGUUUGGCGUUACCCAAUUCAAUAGACAAUGCGAUGAUAAACAAAAAGCACGAGAAACGAUUCAUCAUUUAGUUAAUCAAUGUUUUUUUUGUUAGGGAUGAUAUGUAUUUUUUUAAAUAAGAUAUGCCAAUUUAUACAACGAUGUCUACACACAUAUACACACACAUAUCAUAAAUGUAUUUUGUUAGAAUAAGGGUGAAUUGAUGGUGGUCAAAGUGACUUUUGGUUUGUUUGGUAUUCUACUUUGAACUUUUAAUUAUAUAUAUUUUGACUAUAUUGUUAAAAAUUAAUGCAAAAUCUCACUAUUUAAGAGAAGUACUUAUCUGGUGUUCAAUAAUCUCUGGUUUGAUUGUUUUCUUUUAUUCUUAUUUAUAUAUUAUCUACUAGAAAAAUUGGUCCAAUGAAUCAAUACUAUUAAAACAGAAGCACAAAAUUGGACCAACUUAGUUAUAAAAGAAAUAUUUUUUAAAAACUAUACAAUAUAAUUAAUAUGCCAAUUACAUUAUUCUAUAGUCUAAUACAUUUAUAUCUAUAACAAAAUCACCAUACAAUCCCACCUUAUCAUUUAUGGUAAGGGAUUAAAUGAAAUUAUUAUUAUUUAUGGUAAGUGAUUAAAUGAAUUUAUUAUUAACAAUAUCAUUUUUAAAAUAAACAUUUGUUAUGGUAAGACUUUAAUACACCCUAAUUUAUGAUGUAUGUAGUUAUCCUCUUAUAUAUAUAUAUAUAUAUAUAUAUUUUAUAUAUAUAUAUAUAUAUAUAUGGCGUGAAUCAUGAAUAAUAUUUCAAAUCAAAAAGUUAAGGUUAAGUACUAAUUGUAUUUCAGUUUUAAUAGUAUAGAUGUCUACAGAUAACAUUUUGAUUGUUUAUAUGUUGUAAUUUAUUGUUUCAAAUAUUCAAUUCUUUUAGUUGUUUUUUAUAUGAAUGUAUAUGUGCUUUGUAAAAAUUUAUAUAUAUAUAUAUAUAUAUAUAUAUCAAUUUAAUAAAUUUUGGAUUUUUGUUCGUUCUUGUUAAAAUAAACCAUGCGUGAAGUAAAUCCCAUCUUCUCUAGCAUACCAGUAGUUCUUUUUACCAUGAUCAAAUGCGCCACUACCACCUUCAAAUGCCCUAAUCAUUACAGAAGGUCCACUUGCCUGGAGAAAUGUACAAUCAAUUUUAUUCUUAGGAAUAAAUUUAUCAUGAAAGCUAUAAUCAUCAGUUUCUCCUGGUUUUAGGAAAAAGGUGCCAAUCUGAUCACCAUUCCAUUUACAAAAGAUUUGGAGGUCGUUUCCUGGAUUAAGAGAGUUAUUUAAGUAUAUGUGGUUUUUCGCAAACAGUUUGGCGUUACCCAAUUCAAUAGACAAUGCGAUGAUAAACAAAAAGCACGAGAAACGAUUCAUCAUUUAGUUAAUCAAUGUUUUUUUUGUUAGGGAUGAUAUGUAUUUUUUUAAAUAAGAU